CUUAGGUCUUUUUAUAGAGUUCAUAGCCUGAUUUAUCUCUUAGCUAAUCACUAUUAGCAUGUAGCUAUUCACUGCUAGCAUGACUAGCAUGUUGGAAUUCCAGUUUGCUAGCAUGAGUCAAAAGAGCCAACCGCCAUGUCUUUACGAUGUUCUGAUUCAGAGAUAUAGGUCAUGCAAAACGGUUGCUAGGGUACUCUGUUUGGUUGCUAGGGAGUGGCCUGACCGCUGCCAAUGAUGAUACUCCAAAGGCUGCUUGACAAUAUAAACCAACCCCCGUGUCAGUACGAUGUUCUGAUGCAGAGAUAUAGGUCUUGCAAAACGGUUGCUAGGGUACUCUGUUUGGUUGCUAGGGAGUGCCUUGGCAUCUGCCAAUGAUGCUACUCAAAGGCUGCUUGCCAAUAUAAACCAACCCCCAUGUCUGUACGAUUUUCGGUUGUAAAGAUAUAAUACUUACUAAAUGGUUGCUAGGGUACUCUGUUUGGUUGCUAGGGAGUGGCCUGACAGCUGCCAGUGAUGAUUCUCCAAAGGCUGCUUGCCAAUGUAAACCAAC
ensembl:lncRNA